rnacentral:rRNA from 1 species
AUACGUAGGGGGCGAGCGUUGUCCGGAAUGACUGGGCGUAAAGGGCGUGUAGGCGGUUGAAUAAGUCUGGAGUGAAAGUCCCGGUUUCAAGUUGGGAACUGCUUUGGAUACUGUUCAACUUGAGUGCGGAAGAGGUAAGUGGAAUUCCCAGUGUAGCGGUGAAAUGCGUAGAGAUUGGGAGGAACACCAGUGGCGAAGGCGACUUACUGGGCCGUAACUGACGCUGAGGCGCGAAAGCGUGGGGAGCGAACAGGAUUAGAUACCCUGGUAGUCCACGCUGUAAACGAUGAUUACUAGGUGUGGGGGGACUGACCCCUUCCGUGCCGCAGUUAACACAAUAAGUAAUCCACCUGGGGAGUACGGCCGCAAGGUUGAAACUCAAAGGAAUUGACGGGG